UCGACUUUUCCCUUGAUUUCAUAGUGAAAAUCACGUGAGAUUGAAAUGUAUUGGUUCUUGAAGGUGUUUGAUGAAAAAAAAAUCAUUCGUAAGAUGGCGACGGACGAAGACGGUCCAAUUUGCGUAUCCUUAUAUUGAAAUAAUUCUUUUACAAAAGAAUCGAUAUUUUUUGUGUAUAAAACUUAAAUUAAAUCGUACUAGAACUUUUUGGAAUUAAAACUGCGGCUAAAAGUUGGCUCCUGAUUUUUUUCUCAACACUGACGCUGUAUUGACCGAUUGAUCCGUUAACUUCGAAAUCUGGCUGCGGUAUGAUUCGCGUUCCUAAACACACAACUUCCGUCGGCAGUUUCGUGACGCGGUGCUGGGCGACAUGGCUUCUCGUCACCGUGCCCAAGGGCACUCGAUCCAGAUCAUCAAGGUCGAGUUGGUGGAGGCCUCCGAGAACCGUCGUCAUGCAGUUUCACGGCUUCAAGUAGUAAAACUUAUUUCAAAAUAAAUCAAAAAAAUUAUGCAAUAUUCACAUCACAUGAAAAUUUCGGGAAAGCCAUUGCAUUUAUACUACAAAAUCAUUUGAAAUUCAUGUGCACACCAUUCAAAAGCCAUGUGAGCAUUCACGUCAAACUCACGUGUUUUGCAUUUAGAUUUGCCGGUUCACGCGAUGGAUUUUUUUCAAGGAAUUACACAUGACAUUCACAUGCUAAGACUGCGGUCGAUGUUUGCGCCCGGUCACGGAAAUUUCUAACAGAGUUGGUUCUGCUAGAAUCCUGCUAGAAUCAUUCUAACAGGCUUGCUAGAUUUCUGUAAGAAUUUUGUGAGAACAUUCUGUCAGAAGCAAAUCUGUCGAAAAUGAUGUCAUUUCGCCAAAUCACGUUGGGGCGAAUGUGGUUACCGCCAUUUUGUUAAUGAACUUGUUCAAUCAAGUUUACUUUUCUCGAGAGUUGCCACGGAAGAAGCCUAAUUUUUGAAUUGUAUCAAGAUAAUAAUAAAAGCUCGAAAUGUCCCAAACAAGCGGAAUCCAGAUCGCAGUUCACGGUGGCCGGGGCACAGCUUCCCAUCGACGACGACACGUGGAGCAUCCUAGGAAACAACAAAAUUAUAAAUGUUCCACCACGGAAUUUUCAUCUGGAGACAACACCGGCAGGAAGAGUGAAUAAAAGCGUCCUUUUCAACUCCACCAAAAUACGAGCAACGAAGAUUGAAAGUGCCCAAGUGAACAGUAUAAAGUGUGUGCAUAUUGUAAGAUGUGAUUUGAUUGAAUAAAAAAAAAUAAUUGGUUUUA